AUUGACUAAGGUUUCCAGAGGAAGGCUCGUCCGCUCUGGGUUAGUCGGGUCCUAAGCUGAGGCCGACAGGCGUAGGCGAUGGAUAACAGGUUGAUAUUCCUGUACCACCUAUAAUCGUUUUAAUCGAUGGGGGGACGCAGUAGGAUAGGCGAAGCGUGCGAUUGGAUUGCACGUCUAAGCAGUAAGGCUGAGUAUUAGGCAAAUCCGGUACUCGUUAAGGCUGAGCUGUGAUGGGGAGAAGACAUUGUGUCUUCGAGUCGUUGAUUUCACACUGCCGAGAAAAGCCUCUAGAUAGAAAAUAGGUGCCCGUACCGCAAACCGACACAGGUAGUCAAGAUGAGAAUUCUAAGGUGAGCGAGCGAACUCUCGUUAAGGAACUCGGCAAAAUGACCCCGUAACUUCGGGAGAAGGGGUGCUCUUUAGGGUUAACGCCCAGAAGAGCCGCAGUGAAUAGGCCCAAGCGACUGUUUAUCAAAAACACAGGUCUCUGCUAAACCGUAAGGUGAUGUAUAGGGGCUGACGCCUGCCCGGUGCUGGAAGGUUAAGAGGAGUGGUUAGCUUCUGCGAAGCUACGAAUCGAAGCCCCAGUAAACGGCGGCCGUAACUAUAACGGUCCUAAGGUAGCGAAAUUCCUUGUCGGGUAAGUUCCGACCCGCACGAAAGGCGUAACGAUUUGGGCACUGUCUCAACGAGAGACUCGGUGAAAUCAUAGUACCUGUGAAGAUGCAGGUUACCCGCGACAGGACGGAAAGACCCCGUGGAGCUUUACUGUAGCCUGAUAUUGAAAUUCGGCACAGCUUGUACAGGAUAGGUAGGAGCCUUUGAAACGUGAGCGCUAGCUUACGUGGAGGCGCUGGUGGGAUACUACCCUAGCUGUGUUGGCUUUCUAACCCGCACCACUUAUCGUGGUGGGAGACAGUGUCAGGCGGGCAGUUUGACUGGGGCGGUCGCCUCCUAAAAGGUAACGGAGGCGCUCAAAGGUUCCCUCAGAAUGGUUGGAAAUCAUUCAUAGAGUGUAAAGGCAUAAGGGAGCUUGACUGCGAGACCUACAAGUCGAGCAGGGUCGAAAGACGGACUUAGUGAUCCGGUGGUUCCGCAUGGAAGGGCCAUCGCUCAACGGAUAAAAGCUACCCCGGGGAUAACAGGCUUAUCUCCCCCAAGAGUUCACAUCGACGGGGAGGUUUGGCACCUCGAUGUCGGCUCAUCGCAUCCUGGGGCUGUAGUCGGUCCCAAGGGUUGGGCUGUUCGCCCAUUAAAGCGGUACGCGAGCUGGGUUCAGAACGUCGUGAGACAGUUCGGUCCCUAUCCGUCGUGGGCGUAGGAAAUUUGAGAGGAGCUGUCCUUAGUACGAGAGGACCGGGAUGGACAUACCUCUGGUGUACCAGUUGUCGUGCCAACGGCAUAGCUGGGUAGCUAUGUGUGGACGGGAUAAGUGCUGAAAGCAUCUAAGCAUGAAGCCCCCCUCAAGAUGAGAUUUCCCAACUUCGGUUAUAAGAUCCCUCAAAGAUGAUGAGG
rnacentral:rRNA from 1 species